rnacentral:tRNA from 1 species
UGUGGCUCAGUGGUAGAGCACUCGCCUGGCAUGCAUGAAGCUCUGGGUUCAAUCCCCAGCA